AGAGUUUGAUCCUGGCUCAGGAUUAACGCUGGCGGUGUGUCUAAUACAUGCAAGUCGAACGGUCCUUUUAGGAUAGUGGCGAACGAGCGAGUAACACGUUGGAAUCUACCCCGUACUCAGGGAUAAGCACUGGAAACGGUGUCUAAUACCGGAUGGUCCCGCAAGGGUAAAGAUUUAUCGGUACGGGAGGAGCCUGCGUCCUAUCAGCUUGUUGGUGAGGUAAUGGCUUACCAAGGCUAUGACGGGUAGCUGGUCUGAGAGGAUGAUCAGCCGCGAUGGAACUGAGACACGGUCCAUACUCCUACGGGAGGCAGCAGUAGGGAAUCUUCCACAAUGGACGAAAGUCUGAUGGAGCAACACCGCGUGAUUGAUGACGCCCCUUGGGGUGUAAAGAUCUUUUCUGAGGGAAGAAUUAUGACGGUACCUUAGGAAUAAGCACCGGCUAACUCUGUGCCAGCAGCCGCGGUAAUACAGAGGGUGCGAGCGUUAUCCGGAAUUAUUGGGCGUAAAGCGUCCGCAGGCUGUUUAUUAAGUAGGAUAUUAAAGCCAAUAGCUCAACUAUUGUUCAGUAUCCUAAACUGAUAAGCUAGAGACUCAUAGAGGUAUGUGGAAUUCUGCAUGUAGGGGUAAAAUCCGUAGAUAUGCAGAGGAACACCAAAAGCGAAAGCAGUAUACUGGAUGAGUUCUGACGCUCAG
rnacentral:rRNA from 1 species